CUCUAGUCUCAGAGACACUCCAAUAUGGAAACUCACUCAAUCAGGGAUACACUCAGUUGAUUCUUUGUAUAAUUUCAUCAAUAAUGAUGGAUUGGUUUGCUCUUUCUACAAAGUAAUAUGGAAGCUACAAUUCCUAAUAAAGUCAAAAAGUGUUUUUGUGGUUGGUUGUCAAAAUCAAGAUUUACGGGAAUGCUAAUUUUGCCA
rnacentral:lncRNA from 1 species